GUAGGGAAUAUUGGUCAAUGGACGAAAGUCUGAACCAGCCAUUCCGCGUGCAGGAAGAAGAUUCUAUGGAUUGUAAACUGCUUUUAGCAGAGAAGAAACGCCUUCAUUGAUGAGGGUUUGACGGUAUCUGCGGAAUAAGCACCGGCUAACUCCGUGCCAGCAGCCGCGGUAAUACGGGGGGUGCAAGCGUUAUCCGGAAUCACUGGGUUUAAAGGGUGCGUAGGCGGGAAAUUAAGUCAGUGGUGAAAGUCUGUUGCUUAACGAUAGAAUUGCCGUUGAUACUGAUUUUCUUGAAUUGGGUUGAGGUUAGCGGAAUGUGACAUGUAGCGGUGAAAUGCAUAGAUAUGUCAUGGAACACCAAUUGCGAAGGCAGCUAGCUGGGCCUUGAUUGACGCUGAGGCACGAAAGCGUGGGUAGCGAACAGGAUUAGAUACCCGAGUAGUCC
rnacentral:rRNA from 1 species